GAAAUAUUAAAAAAGUUAUUAUUCUUGCUUUUCAGCCUUUCAUACUCUUUUAGUUUAUCUUAUAUUCACCAUUAUGUAUGCAACACCUGUUUGAAAUAUAGGUUGGAUUAAUGCUGUUUUUUUGGCUGAGCAAAUCUUAAAUAGAUUAGCCAAAGCAAUUCAUACCUCUGGCAAAGUUCAACGAGUUGCUUCAAGUAUUGUGAACAGAGCGAAAAUGUAGGCAAGAAAUUACAGGUUGUCUCCCUUGUCAAAUCAUCCAGCUGUCUAUGACUCCUCCAUGCUAAAUCGUCAAAAAAUGCAUUUCAUCAGAAAAUAGAACAAAUUCAAAGCAUUCAAUAAAACUCCAUUUGUAAAUAAAUGUUUUAAAACC